rnacentral:lncRNA from 1 species
UCAACUCCUUUAAAAUCAGUUCCAAGACAUCCUAUUGUUCCAAGUAUAUGGCACAUGUACAUAAUUGGCAAGAAAACAGCACAAAUUGUUCCAAAAACACCACAUAAAAACACCCAGGCGAUUCACUGUAUAUUAAAAUGUUAUUUACACGUCGCAUUUGGUGCAAAAUCCGGUAAUAUUCCACGUGAAAUGUAACAACACUUCGCAAGUUCACUUCUUGCAGUAAAAUUCCAUUGUUAUUUUGUCACCCUCGAAACAUUCACAUACAAUUCUACUAUUAUUGUGAUUUUAAACAAAUAUCACUAUUAAAUAAGUAUAAAUAUGACUUAACACUUGUUAGCACAUGGAUAAUAUCCUACCGCUGCUUUGUUAGAAAUUUUAAAAGCAAAAUGCAGAGGUAAAUACAUUUAUUUUAAAUAUUUAGGUAAUACACAAAUCUUUCUUUUACGGAAUACCAUCAUCGACUGGAUACCCAAACACUUGAUUUCAUCCCUCUUCGGGUCACCCUCCUGUUUUUCAAAACAUCGCACCUUGUCCAGCGAUUAGUCAGGGCCGGUGUGA